UCAUGUCUGUUUUGCCCUGUAUUCCAUUAACAUUAUGAUUAAUGAAAGCUCUCCUGAAUUUCAAAUACCUUGAAAAGUAGCCAAUGCCUGCUCUUCGGAGGCCACACUGAAGAUAAAUAACAAUAAAAAACAGGGUGAUCCAGGCUUUUGAAGUCUUUAAAGACAAGCAUCACUGUGAUCUUUGUACCACUGUUGCAGAAAGGAGGACAUUUCACAUUUCUGGCACUACUAAGGACAACACAGCGACUGAAAGAAAGCAUGAAUUUCUGGGAGCAGCAUCAGGAUACAGGGCUCCUGCUGAGCUCACCAGUUCCUUGCUUCGCACAGCUGCCUUCUCAGCUGGGGGUUUUAAAUCAGCACUGUGAGGAAAGACAGAAAUGACCAUGGUGCAUUUGCCUCACUAUGAGAAAAAGAAGCACAAAAAGGCAAAGUGACUGAGAAAUUGAACCUGCUGACUUGAUACUCUAGCAAUUAAUCCGGCCCACUUGCUUUUCAUAUUGAACAAUGCUAUCCCAAAGGAAAAGAAAGAGCUUCUACAAGCUUUGAUUUUGUAUUCUGAGAUUUCAAAACCGGAUCUAAUACUUUCAAAUAAGUGGAUACUGGAACAUUUUAAGAUAUAAUUUGGAAAAUAUUCUGGUGUACUCAAGUCCAAAGGGAAAUUUAGUAAGAAAUUCUGGGCCGUCCAAACCAAACCUCCAAAAGGAAAGAAAUCAUGGCUGUUUGGGGAGCAACUCAACAUUGCUGUUAUGGAACCCAAUUCACAGUGCCUUAUGUCUCUGCCUGUCCAUGUUCUACUUGAUAAACUCCUAAGGAAAAGAAUUUGGGUCUAACUUGAGUCACUUCUCUGUCUAUUGGACUCAGUCAACCAUGGCCAAAGAGGCUGGUGGAACUGACCACUGGGAGAAAGAUGACGAGUGUUCCUGCCACCACAGCUUAAAUUCUACUGUUGACCUUGUACUUUCCUCAUCUCCUUGAAAG